rnacentral:rRNA from 1 species
GCGGCAUGCCUUACACAUGCAAGUCGAACGGCAGCGCGGGAGCAAUCCUGGCGGCGAGUGGCGAACGGGUGAGUAAUAUAUCGGAACGUGCCCUGUAGCGGGGGAUAACCUAUCGAAAGAUGGACUAAUACCGCAUACGCUCUACGGAGGAAAGCGGGGGUCGCAAGACCUCGCACUACAGGAGCGGCCGAUAUCGGAUUAGCUAGUUGGCGGGGUAAAAGCCCACCAAGGCUACGAUCCGUAGCUGGUCUGAGAGGAUGAUCAGCCACACUGGAACUGAGACACGGUCCAGACUCCUACGGGAGGCAGCAGUGGGGAAUUUUGGACAAUGGGCGCAAGCCUGAUCCAGCCAUGCCGCGUGAGUGAAGAAGGCCUUCGGGUUGUAAAGCUCUUUCGGCAGGAACGAAAUGGUUCGUGCUAAUACCACGGACUGAUGACGGUACCUGAAGAAGAAGCACCGGCUAACUACGUGCCAGCAGCCGCGGUAAUACGUAGGGUGCAGGCGUUAAUCGGAAUUACUGGGCGUAAAGCGUGCGCAGGCGGUUUCUUAAGUCAGAUGUGAAAGCCCCGGGCUUAACCUGGGAACUGCGUUUGAAACUGGGAGACUUGAGUGUGGCAGAGGGGGGUGGAAUUCCACGUGUAGCAGUGAAAUGCGUAGAUAUGUGGAGGAACACCGAUGGCGAAGGCAGCCCCCUGGGUAACAC